rnacentral:rRNA from 1 species
UACGUAGGGGGCGAGGGUUGUCCGGAUUUAUUGGGCGUAAAGAGCUCGUAGGCGGUUUGGCAAGUCGGAUGUGAAAACUCCAGGCUCAACCUGGAGACGCCACUCGAGACUGCCAUGACUAGAGUCCGGUAGGGGACCACGGAAUUCCUGGUGUAGCGGUGAAAUGCGCAGAUAUCAGGAGGAACACCGAUGGCGAAGGCAAUCCCCUGGACCUGUACUGACGCUCAUGCACGAAAGCGUGGGGAGCAAACAGG